rnacentral:lncRNA from 1 species
AGGCAGGAUGACGCUCUGGUGACAAGCCGAUUCGCCAAGGGAGUGGCAGGCAAGGAGAAAGCCCCGGAGGAAAGGAGGCCGGAGAAGCAUGAAAAGAAACAUGGCAAAAGGUCUGAGCCUUACAGACAGCCCUGGGAGCGAAGGGACCAAAGACCUCUUCCCCCUCGAGUCUCAGAGUAGAGGCUACUCCCUUCAUGGGUUCCGGAGAAGCCAACCCCACUUAAUGCCUCUAGAGCCGAAGUGCUCGUAGCCGUCCAAGAUAAAGAAUUCUUACAAUGGCCCAAGCCCCUGAAAUCGGAAGCUGACCAGCGAAAUCC